AUGGAUUAAACAUUUACAUCAUUAACCUGAUAUAAAAAAACAUGUUCAUCUGCAAAGUUUUAAAUUAUAUAAUUCAAAUAUUACUCUUAAUUAAUAUAUGAGUUUGACCCUACAAUAAUGAGGUAUAUGUGAUAUCAAGUCAACCCAAAAUCGACCCACGUGGCCCGAUAAGCGGCCCGAAUACUCACACGAUUGAGUCCAAACAAUUCCUGUAAUUUGAAUAUUCUUUUAUAUUCCAACGGAAUCUGUUUAUCUUUUAGGCACAUUUCAUAAUCAAAUUGGGGUUCCAACUUCCCAUAACCAAACAGUCAGAAUCUCUUGCUUGUGCCAGCUAUGCAAUUUGCUGUGCAUUUAUUUUCC
rnacentral:lncRNA from 1 species